CCUACGGGAGGCAGCAGUGGGGAAUAUUGCACAAUGGGGGAAACCCUGAUGCAGCGACGCCGCGUGAAGGAAGAAGUAUUUCGGUAUGUAAACUUCUGUCAGCAGGGAAGAAAAUGACGGUACCUGACUAAGAAGCCCCGGCUAACUACGUGCCAGCAGCCGCGGGAAUACGUAGGGGGCAAGCGUUAUCCGGAUUUACUGGUGGUAAAGGGAGCGUAGGCGGCGAUGCAAGUCAGAAGUGAAAGCCCGGGGCUCAACUCCGGGACUGCUUUUGAAACUGUAUGGCUGGAGUGCAGGAGAGGCAAGUGGAAUUCCUAGUGUAGCGGUGAAAUGCGUAGAUAGUAGGAGGAACACCAGUGGCGAAGGCGGCUUGCUGGACUGUAAAUGACGCUGAGGCUCGAAAGCGUGGGGAGCAAACAGGAUUAGAUACCCUAGUAGUC
rnacentral:rRNA from 1 species